rnacentral:tRNA from 22 species
GGGUUGCUAACUCAACGGUAGAGUACUCGGCUUUUAACCGACUAGCUCCGGGUUCGAGUCCCGGGCAACCCA